rnacentral:rRNA from 1 species
UACGUAGGGUGCGAGCGUUGUUCGGAAUUACUGGGCGUAAAGCGCACGUAGGCGGCUUUGUAAGUCAGGGGUGAAAUCCCGGGGCUCAACCUCGGAACUGCCUUUGAUACUGCAAAUCUCGAGUCCGGAAGAGGUGAGUGGAAUUCCUAGUGUAGAGGUGAAAUUCGUAGAUAUUAGGAAGAACACCAGUGGCGAAGGCGGCUCACUGGUCCGGUACUGACGCUGAGGUGCGAAAGCGUGGGGAGCAAACAGG